AGCACCCGAGGUCCGGACCAACUUGGCCUCACUCCAGGGAUUUUGCUAGACCGUAUACCGCUUCAUGCUAUCCAUCCAGGGGCUCCCAGAAUGGUGGCACGGGGCCUGGGGCACCAAUGAGCCAUCCUUCCUUGGAGAGAUCUGGUUUGGGAUCCCAGCUACUCUCGCCCUCCAGCCCGCCUCGCUUGAAACUUCCGGCAAUAGAGACUCCUUUGACGUUCAAAGAAAACAGGGACAAAACACUGGCAGCAUAACGUUUCCACUGUGGAACAGCUAAGCUGCUGGGAUGGCGUCUGGGCAAGGCGGGUUUUUCAAUGGAGCCUGCCUUUCUUUGGAGUAGGUGGCUUAGGCUGUGCUGAUGCCAUCUUUGCCUGGUUGUCAAAAAGAGAUCCAGAAAUAUAGGCUUGUGGAAUGUUGAAGCUGGAAGUCUUGUCCAACUGAACUUACUUAUUUAACAACCCUGGAAGAGUUCAUGUGUGAUCAAAUUACUUCUAACUGCAUUGUAUGUGGCACACACACAUGUAAAAUACAUUCCCAACCCCGGAGGAGUUUAAGACCUAGCUGGA